CCCUUAGAUGUUCUGGGCCGCACGCGUGCUACACUGAGUGGAUCAGCGGGUCAGGUUGCGCGAAAGUGUUUCCUAAUCUUUAAAUCCGCUCGUGAUGGGGAUUGACGGUUGCAAUUUUCCGUCAUGAACGAGGAAUACCUUGUAAGCGCGGGUCAUCAUCCCGCGCUGAAUACGUCCCUGCCCUUUGUACACACCGCCCGUCGAUCCUACCGAUUGAGUGGUCCGGUGAGGCUUUGGGAUCUGAGCGGAAAGAGCGUUUCGCUGUUUCUGCCCGGAAAACUCAGUCGAACCUUAUCAUUUAGAGGAAGGAGAAGUCGUAACA
rnacentral:rRNA from 1 species